rnacentral:tRNA from 1 species
GGGCUCGUGGUCUAGUCGGUUAUGACGUCGCCUUGACAUGGCGGAGGUCCGGAGUUCGAAUCUCCGCGGGCCCA